rnacentral:pre_miRNA from 2 species
UAGUGGUGUCAUGGUCAUUGUUGAGCGCUCAUACGACCCAUACAAUUGCAUUGCAGCUUAUGCAGGGGUCGUAUAACGGUCAACAGAGACCCUUGACAUCAAAGA